GUGCCAGCAGCCGCGGUAAUACGUAGGGGGCAAGCGUUAUCCGGAUUUACUGGGUGUAAAGGGAGCGUAGGUGGUUCGGUAAGUCAGAUGUGAAAGCCCGGGGCUCAACCCCGGGACUGCAUUUGAAACUAUCGAACUAGAGUGCAGGAGAGGUAAGUGGAAUUCCUAGUGUAGCGGUGAAAUGCGUAGAUAUUAGGAGGAACACCAGUGGCGAAGGCGGCUUACUGGACUGUAACUGACACUGAGGCUCGAAAGCGUGGGGAGCAAACAGGAUUAGAUACCCCCGUAGUCC
rnacentral:rRNA from 1 species